CUAAGAUGGCGGGCGAGUGCGUCUAGGCUCCGGGGUCCCCGGCGGCUCCCCUUCCCCUGCCCGAGAGCCCCCCUCAUCCCACCUCCGCGCGAGCCCUGGACUCGCCGCCCGCGCAGCCCCGUGUAGCUCCUUGUGUGUCUUUUGAUUUUUCAGCGAUCCCUCUGUACUUUGUGGACUUGCAGCAUGACUUAGAGGACUGUCAGAAAACCCAGCCAGGAAGCGCUAUUGGCCCUUCUGGAGCAAGGUCUCAUCUCCCAGUGUGACAUUGAAGGCUAAGUAUGUCCUGCUCUGCUGGAGCGGUCUGCUCCCAGCCGUGAAGAUGAAUGCAGAACGGAGGCCAUGAGUAUACCAACAUUUUUUGAGCUCUGCUCAGGUAACACACAGAAAGCAUGUUCAGAGUGCUUCACGGCCGUGUUCCACACUUCCCCCUCGGUCUGCAGAACCCAGCUCUCGACUGUCUUCAUCAAACUCAUCAGUGAUCCCCAUCGAUAGGGAGAGCUCCUUCCCUCCACCCUGGCUCUAGAGCACUGUGCACAUGAGCCAGUUCCUUCUGGAAGGAGCUUCAGCUGAGACCAGUUAUCUGCACACCAGCUCGUCCACAGACACAUCAGGAAACCAUCCAGGGAGCCCUUCCUAAGCCAGGGCUGAAGUGAUGGGAAGCUCUUCCCAAAGCUCCUGAUGUCAGCCGCUGCCUCAGUAAGUUACCCUGAAACAGAGCAGACACUACCGGGGGAGGGAGGGCGUGCUCAGUACUUGACUGUAUGGGCACACUCCUCUUCCUGAUAGAGCUAAGAGGUGGAGGUGCUUCUGAGGGAGCCUGGGCCGCUGGAAGGGAACCACGUUUGGCCUGAGGCUGCAUGUGACAGUUAUGUGGCCAGGAGCAAGAUCCAGAAAGUCCUUCAGAAUUUGCAGGACCAUCUGCUGCAUGACCCAGACAUUGGUGGUGAAGGCAGGGUGUCUGUGUGUUGUGCAUGGCACAGGCCUGCUUCCUUGCCCAUGUGCUACUGUAUGCCUGUGUGGUGAGUUACAGGCACGCAGAGUUUGGUAUCUCUAGGCAGCGCCUGCUUCACAUAUCUGGCUUUCUUGUUCCAGGCAACGUCCCCAGACAGAACAGAGGACAGUGCUUGGGCACAUCUGUGCUGGUGGGAGGUUUAUUAGCUCCAGAGACAGUGACAUCAGUUCCCAGGUUGUGUAUCCUUUCUGGCCACAAACAUCUCAGGCAGCCUUCCUUUGGAUCCAUAAGCUCUGGCCCUCACUGAUCCCUAAGACUUCUUCCCUAAGCAGAUAGGUGUCUUUCAUUUCAUGAUUAAAGCUCCCACCCACUAAGUGUAGGUGGGGUCUGGGAGCUGGUCUCCUAAUCCCAUUGUUGUGCAACCCCAGUUAGUCCUCAGGCUCUGCUGUGCCGCUUGGGUUUGUGCCACGUGAGAGAGAUUAGAGAAACAACACUUGCUGCUGUUGCUGGGCAGGGCUUGUGCCGCUCUGAGGAGAGGAAAUGUGAAGACCCAGUUUGCCCCAUGAUUAGUCUUUGUCUGCCAGUCCCUGAAUGAAGGAACCCGUGAUUGCCGAAGGGAUGAACAAGUGGUCCACUUGUGCAGGCUGCAGGCAGAGGCUGCGGUGGGUUGCACAGACAGCAGUUUGUCCCAGUAGCAGCCAAUCAGGGCUGGCCAGCAGUGAGCCUUGGCGUCUGGUGGAAGGGCUUGCAUAGGCAGCUCUGCCUGGGUGAGGUGAGGGCUGAGAUAUGUGUGUCCAGAAGAGGCAGUGGGCAGGAAGCUGGUCAUUUCUGGGGGUAGAGAAAAUAUCAGGGGAUCCUCCUCCUGCAGGUCCUGUUCCUGGGAAGCCGCUGUCUGCACUAUUCUGCACAUAUUUACAUAGCUAAUUUCUCACUAAGAAAGGACUGUUAGCUUUUCUUAGAUCUCAGAGGGGUCACUAACCCUCAGAGAUUCAGAAACAAAUGACACAUUUCACAUUCUGGCUGUUGCAAAGGGCCUGGUGUGCUGAACUUGGGAGGUAAGACUUCUCCCAGCACAGUGGGGAGCCAGCUACAAGCUCUGAGCAUUGGAGAGGAUAUUUGUAUUGUAGGAACAGCAUGCAAGGGUGGGGGUAAGACAUGUGUCAUGUACCCUGGAGAUAGAAAUGUAAAGUUUUAAUUUGUGUAGAAAAAUAGGUGAAGUAGGUCCUUUGAGCCCCCACACUAGUGUGUAAAUAAACUUACGUGUAUGUACAUGCAUAUGUGUUAAUAGGAAGGGGAGCAGCCGUCCUGCUUUAUAAAUGGGGCAUACAACACCCCUUGUCAAGGAGAAUGGCCUCCCAGACUCCUCUGCUGGAUAACCUCACUCUUCCUUUUGUGAGAGAUAGUGGCGUUGAACUGAUUUUUCUUGGUAGAUGUGUUUUGAAUCCAGAUGUGCUGCUCUGUGUGACUGAUGAUCAAUUGGAAUGGUCACAUUAGUGGCCAGCAUCACAGCUGGCAGGGGGCUCCUGCUGAGACUCCAGAGUCUGCCAGCAAGCACUCUUCAGUUAUGGAGGAGGUGCCUGGGCCAAAGCUCAGCGCAUAGCCCUCUGAAAUGAACCCAGGACCCAUCGCAUUAAGUUAUUAAAUUUUUUUUUAAAUGUUUUGAGACAGGCUGUUACAUAGCCCAAGCUAGUCUAAACCUUGCUUUGUAAUAGAGGGUGACUUCAAACUUCUGAUCUUUUUACUGCCACCUUCCAAGUGCUGGGAAAGCCAGCUUAUGGGGUGCAGGGGAUGGAAAACGGGGUUUUGUGGCUACCAGGCAGACAGUCUCCUGACUGCCCGACAUGCCCAGCCCCGUGCUGUCAUUAGGACGCUUGCUGCUUCUCCUCCUGCUGCUCAGGCUCAGGUAUUACCUGCCUGCUGCAUUGAGAGCAAGCAGCAGGGCUCUGCUCUGCUGGUGAACCUGAGAGCACACAGACACACGGUCUGAAGGCAGAGCCUGUGUCAGACCCCAGCCCUGCUUCUGACAGUCACAUCCUCCGUCAGCGUCAUCAUCUCAGAUGAGCUCUCCGCAGCCAGGAUAUUACAGAGCACAGUAAGUACUUGCCCUGUCCCUCAGCCACCGAGGAUGUGACAGAAAUCACAAAGCUGCACUUGCUUUUAUUAAUACAUCCCUGCAGAGAAGAUAAAUGGCAAAUUUCAUUUCAUUCUUAAGGUCAUGUUUUGGAUAACUAGACAACCAAUCAAUCAGGUGAUUGAUCACCCUGAAUCCCUUCCAUGGGAACAGGGUGGGCACCAGAAACAAUGCCCCCCCGGGGGGGUGGAUGACAGGCAGUGCUCUUGGGGGAUUAACGGUGUAAAUGUCCUGGGUCAUUGCUGGCAGUCACUUACAUCUCUAAUAACAGAAGAGGGUGAAUUCCAAGUUGGUGGAGGCUGCCAAGAGUGAUGAGUGUGGCUGGCCUCUUGGUUCAGAGGCAUCUUUUAAUACCCAGCUGCUUAGUGUCCUCCUUCCCAGAGGGGGGACUUGGAUAAGCCAGUGUCACCUACUUCACAUUCUGCAGUCUGGAGUCUUCGCUUUGUGAACCCAGAAGGGACUGGACUUCCUUCUUGCUUGAGUCUCUAGAAGCUUCCUUAGCCUCGUGACACUGACCUUUAUUAUGCUUUCCCAGUUCCUGCCCAGUGCACCAAUGAGAUGGUGCCUGAUUCCUGCUGUGAAGCGGGAUGAGCAGACCUUGCAAGUCCAUGGUCUCCAGGACCCAGUGCAUACUCCUGCUGACGUGGCAGAAAAUUCCAAGAACACUAGCCUGUUACCUUUGUGACCUGCCUGUAGAAACCCUGGGAGGAGAAAGGUCCAGUCCAGGCCCUGAUGGGCUGAAGAGGCAGAAAUAGACAGAAAGGACGUGUGAGGUCUCUGCUGCCUCGCUGCCAAGCCUUCUUCAUGUACCAAGGCCUGUCCCAACAGAGGCCAAAGGGGAUCCAGCUGAGCCUUAAAUUCAAACCAGUGGCCGCCUGGAGACAGAACAGGGGCAAGAACAGACUGCGCUGGGAGAGAGUGAACCUAAAGUUCAGCCAAGUAUACACAGGUUGCCUCAAGAUCUCCUGAUGAUGCCAAGGGCAAGCUUGGGCCCAGCCUCCUGGGGUGGCUGCUAUAGAGGAUAGUCUCCACACUGUACCCCUGUGCCAUGCACUCUGCUCUCCAGACUCUCCUCUCUGAUAAGGCGUCGCUGGCUUUGGGACUGACUGCAGGAUAUAAUCCCCCAGCCUCUGCUCCAUCAGUUCGUUUCCAUGACUAACCCACCGAAAGCCCAGACUGUGGACACUGCCUUGGCCAAGCACUGUGCAUGCAGUUUCCCUGGGGUGGCCCUAAGCUGGCAGAACUAGCACUGCCUGAAGGACACAUGUGAAACGUUGGCUUCAGAUGUCCAGUGGAGUCUGCCUCACUCUCGCCUGCCUUCUCCAUUCAGGAACUGGCAGUGAUUCGCAGGGAUCAGCUGACAGCAGCCGAACUGGUGCCUAUCUUCAGUGGCUCUUGAAGGAUCUGGACAAAGUGACAAGAGGAGCGAGCACUUCUGCCCGCUUCAGACCGCUUCAGAGGUCGGUGGUGCUGGCAGCAGCCGGCACUGGAGGUGUCCAUAUGCACCAGCAGAGUUACAGCUAGUCAUCUUACAAAUAAUUGUCUUCCUGAAGACAUCCAUCAGGCUUUUGCAGCUACGUAGGAUAUGAUUUGGCCGGUGCCGGGAGCAAACUGGAAGAUUUUCUCUUUGCUGCUGUGGACCAGUUUGUGGAACACUCGCUUCCCAGCCUCCUGAGCCUGGUGUCGGAUCCUGUGCCAAAUGUGAAGGUUCUCCUGGCCAAGGCACUGCGGCAGACACUGCUGGAGAAGGAAAUGCUGAGAACCAUCAUCUUGAAGUUGUUGAAGAGAUUCUCUUGGCUCUGCAGUCUGACAAGGACCAAGGUGUUUCAUUUUUUUUUUUUUUUUUGCUUCCUUAGAACCAAAGAUUCAGAAUUCUAUAGAAACCACUCUACUGGAAAACUUGAACUAGCACCCUGUGUUGGGUGCACAGAGAUGCCUCUGAGGCACGUGUGGCUUGUACUUGAGCCUAGUCCUUAAGACUUCUGCAGACCUGAUCAAUGGCAGGUUUGUAGAGAGGCGGUGGGUCCAGGUACUAAUGGCUCUCAGGCUUCCUCGCCACGAGCUAUGGCCAGCAGUUUGUUAUUUAGAAAGACUGGUUUUAAAACCUCCCCUUAGAGCCUGGUACAGUUGCUCACAUCUGUAAUUCUAGCACCACGGAAGGCUGGAGCAGGGAGAUCAGAAGUUCAAACAUAAGACAGAGAAGUCUAGGCAUGUCUGAGCUACAUAACAAAACCCUAUUCAAGGAAAACAAACAUAAAUACAGCUCCCCUUGCCAAGAAAGUAAUUUAGAGGAGCUGUAAGUAUUGUCUGGGCUUGCCGCCCUGACCCUCUCUCAGAAAAUGGAGUUUAUGAACUGUAUUUUAUCUCCAGCAGAAAUACUGUACCUGUGUAAAUAACUUGACAAGAGAAAGAUCUAUGGAUGUCACAUUAGCUUCUGCAGAGAAUAAACAUGUCACCUGAAUCUUGUUCUGCUUCGGGACCGCUGCAGAGGCAGCUCUUAUGUGGACUUUUGCAGUGUCCUUGUAAAUGCAGCCUAGUAAAGAACUGUCAUUCCCCUGUCACCUGGCUCCUCUCGGGUAUUUAUUUCCCUCACCCUUUCCCUAAUUCAGAAACUGUGAAAAUGUAAAUGUGUGUUGGUCUUUGAGUAGCUAGAAUCAUAAAGUUGUUUUAAUGUGGACAUGUCCAGGGAUUCGGUGGCUGGU